rnacentral:other from 1 species
UGUCCCCUGCGGUGUUCGACAGGCCUAUAAUUCUUUGAACCAAUAAGCUUUGCUUAAGGCCGCGACCUUUGAUGUUACUGUUGUGCGCAUCCCCGAAUGGCGGAUGUACCUGAUGUGACUUGGAAGCGGCCCUCUUGAACCCAGGUUCAAGAUGCUGGGUCAACGGCACAGGCGGGGGGCUU